GAUGAACGCUGGCGGCGUGCCUAACACAUGCAAGUCGAACGGUGAAGCGCCCUCCUUUCUGGUGGGUGGGGAUGGGCGGCGAAGGGGUGAGUAAGACGUUAGUAACCUGCCCCCUUUUGCUGGAUAACCGCAUGAAAGAGUGGCUAAUAGGGGAUAUUCUGAGUCUGUCGCAUCAUGGGUCUGGGAAAGAUAUUGUUUCGGUGGGGGAUGGGCUCGCGGCCUAUCAGCUUGUUGGUGUGGUGACGGCCUACCAAGGCGGUGAGGAGUAGCCGGCCUGGGAGGAUGAGCGACACUGGAGGUGCGAAGACGCGGAGAAGACUACGGGAGGCGGCAGCAGUGAAGAAUAUGGAACGGGGGGAGGAAGGCUGCUGCAGCGACGCCGCGUGAGGGAUGGAGGCCUGCGGGUAGAGAACCUCUUUCGCGAGUGAAGCAGGGCUGCCUCGUGUGUGGGUGGGUUGACGGUAGCUGGAGAAGAAGCGCCGGCUAACUACGUG
rnacentral:rRNA from 1 species